rnacentral:rRNA from 1 species
AGUGAACGCUGGCGGUAGGCCUAACACAUGCAAGUCGAACGGCAGCACAGUAAGAGCUUGCUCUUACGGGUGGCGAGUGGCGGACGGGUGAGGAAUACAUCGGAAUCUACUUUUUCGUGGGGGAUAACGUAGGGAAACUUACGCUAAUACAGCAUACGACCUACGGGUGAAAGCAGGGGAUCUUCGGACCUUGCGCGAUUGAAUGAGCGGAUGUCGGAUUAGCUAGUUGGCGGGGUAAAGGCCCACCAAGGCGACGAUCCGUAGCUGGUCUGAGAGGAUGAUCAGCCACACUGGAACUGAGACACGGUCCAGACUCCUACGGGAGGCAGCAGUGGGGAAUAUUGGACAAUGGGCGCAAGCCUGAUCCAGCCAUACCGCGUGGGUGAAGAAGGCCUUCGGGUUGUAAAGCCCUUUUGUUGGGAAAGAAAAGCAGCAGGUUAAUACCCCGCUGUUCUGACGGUACCCAAAGAAUAAGCACCGGCUAACUUCGUG